UUCAAAACGGCAGUCCACAAACCAAUGGGUGAUGUCACGGUGACUACGUCCACUUCUUACAUACAGUCUAAGGGGUGAGCGAACACUGAUUGGAGACGGGAGAUGUGAUUGGUGGAAACUGUCGUACUUGUGCAGCAUAGCAAUCUGGAGCUCAACAGUUGUGUUUGUGUGUUUAUGUCCCCAUUUUAAACCUCACGCUUUGAGAAGGGGCUGGCCCAUCACACUGUGUAGACAUACACACACACACACACACACACACACACACAGAGAGAGCCUGUAGCACCGCUCCAGCUGUGCUGUAGCUGCCCUCACCAUUAAUUUGUCUGACUUUUCUCUCCUGUGACUGCUGCUUGUCACGGCCUUGUGCCCUAAAGAAGACCCCCCCAUUCCCUCUCUGUGUCUCUGCUCCCACUCCCUGCUGAAUUACAUACACACCAUAUGUACAGAUGGGACAUAGUUAGCUAAUGUGCUACAUUAAUUAAACAUCUCCAUCAUGUAACAGUGAUUCAGCGUAUACUCUGUUGGUGAAAGUUUCCCCAUAGACCUUUUUUUAGCAGCAGAGAUUUUGUCUUGUCACAGCAGCAGGUGUAACUAAUUACAAUAAGAUGGCUCAGUAACAUUUAAAGGUUCCAGUCAGCCGUGAGUCUGACUCAGCGUGUGCUAUGCAAAACUAAAUCUUUAUUUUUUUAAUCACACCUGUGCUUCUCCUGCUGUGACAUUUCCAAAUGUCUGCUGUGAGUCAGCUCUAUUUGCUUUGUCUAAGCAGUCAGUUUAAAUCCCAUACAGCACAGGAAGUGAUGUCACCAUAUGUGCAUUCAGCUUAUAGUCCGCUGCUCUUAACAGUCUGUGCUGGUGGAUCUCUGUGCACGACAAUAUACAGACACAUAAUGAAGCUACUAAACACUAUUUAGUCGGUUAUAAUUAGGAUUUGUUAAAGAAAAUACUUUUUUUUUUCGUCAUUUCAUAACAGUCAGGGUCAGAGUUCUAACCUCUGUCUCUCUCUUUGGUAUUUAUGUCCCUCUUGUCUUGUUGAAAGGCAGAUGUUCGGCCAGAUGUUUGUGUGUGUCUGUGUGUGUGUGUCUCUCCACUGCACACACACUCACACUAAACCCUGGGAGCUGGCAUUGAGACGUUUGGUAAUGCUGCUCAUUCAUUCGGAGGUUUUCCUUCCAACUAACUCAUUUAUUUGCUUGCCAGUCACUUACUCAUCCUUUUAUUUCACUUGCUCAUUCAGAUCAUUAUCCAUUCUACGUUUCUUCAUUGAAGCAUGCAUGUUCAUUCAUUUAUUAAGUCCUUUAAUUGGUCAUUCAUUCAUUUAGCAACAACAAUAAUGUGUUCAUUCAUUCCGUUUAUGACUUUAAUUCACUGAUUCUUUCAUUAUUUCAUCAUCAAUUCAUGUGUUCAUCCAUACAUUCAUAUAUGGAUUAUUACAAUAAUUUAUUAUUCAUUUAUUUUCCCUUAUUUCUUUCAUUAAUUUACUCCUUUUACCAUUUUGUUAUUGAUGCUUCUUGCUACUUCCUCAACUUAUUCAGUCUUCUACACAUUAAGACAUUUAUUCAUUUGAAUUAAUUCAUUGAUUCACUCAGCUAUGAACACUUAAUUGUCUCUACAUAAUAAACGUACAUUAGUGGAGUCAUUAAUGUACUCCCUGGAACCACUGCAGGGCUGCUCUCCACACAUGUACAGCCAUUAUAAAUGUUAAACAACGGAGAAUAUUCCAUCAUAAAGCGUAAGGUGUAGCCCUCAGUAAUAUAUCAGUAGUCAGUAGAUGUGGAGGGCAUUAAGUUAAAAAUAACCUUUACCCUGCAGGUUUAUAUUUGGUGGACUGAUGUGCACUGUAAAGCGCUGGGAUGGAUGUAUUUAGGGUCAGAGUGUCCUGUGGUUGAUCAUUAAAACUCGGAUCCGCCUGCAGCUUCUCUCUGAGGACCAGAUGGGUCCAUCGGGCUGAACCGCACAUACAUAGAAACACUGAGACAGUCUGUCAACCUGAUCCUCCUUCAGCAUCUCCCUCAAUUUGUGUUCAUCUUUCCCCCCGUCACUCUGUUCAUUUUCAUCCCUCUGCCUCAACACGAGCUCCACUGAUCUGACUCUCGUGUCAAAAAUAAUAUUAGUUGAGAAAGUUAAGAAAAUCCACCAACAACGUGAAUGAUUAGUCAUUUUCUUUGUUCAUCUCUGUGUGAUCUUUGCUUUAUCUUUUUCCUUCAGCUCCCCCCUUUAUCUCUCUCUCUCUGUCAGCCAGAUGUGAAUUCUCUUAAUCUUCUACAUUCACAAACAGCCCGGGAAUAAAGAAUCUGUUGUUUUUGUCAACAUGUUAUUUUUUUUUUUUCUGACGUAACCCGAGUCAGUGACGUGAGGUUUACACGGUUUCUGUGCAGGAUUACACUCUGAUCUGACAGUACUGGAAACAAUAGCACUGAAUAAGCUCAAGAUCUGCUGGGUUACACUCUUGACGCUGCUGAAAUGAUGCGUUCACCAGGUGAUUUUGACACAUGAUGCAAUCUCUGACAAACCCAGAAGGUCGUUUAACAAUAGCUAACCACAAGGUAUUGUUGCAAGGUAUUUCCAGAAUCCAAGACUCUUCUCUCGACCUGGAUUUAACCCUCGGGGCCUUUUUUGCACCUGUCACAUAUUACUCACUGUGGCCUCGUUCUUCACUCGCUUCUCUCUCAUUUCUUUUUUCUACAUUGAAGUCCUGCACCUAUGGAAACAGCACAAUCAUGGCUACAGUAGAAGUAGGGAGAACUCAAACAUGUCUUUUGUGUAGUAUAACACAAUUAUAAUGCCGUAAAAGAAAGAAAAGGUAAACUAUUUACAUGGUUACAACCCAUACUUACAGCUUAUCUUGUCCUCUCCCCUCUCUGCUCCGUGUAAUCCAGUUCAGUUUGAGUUUCACCGAUUUUUUUGUCACGUGACUGUUGGUCUCAGGCAAAUCAUACAUGGCUUCCCAGUUGCGCUCAGGAACUUAGAAUUUAAUGUUUUUUACAGGAUCCGGUUCGUGCUAAUGGUUUAUUUUUUGGCAACAUUUUAAAUGAGACAUGUAGAAUAAUGUGAUUUUGAUGAAAUGUCACUAUUUUAAGCUUAGAUUUGGCUAUUUUUACCUGAAGCGUUCGUCACACAUGGUUUGUUCAAGGGCCAUUGGAAAUUUAAAAAUCCAAUGAUGAUUUUUGUUUUUUACAGUUUCUGGCUUUAUGAUAAAUGAAGUAGCGAUUUCUUUAAAAAGAAAACCUGCCUUUCACAUCCACCGGUGGGUUGUUUGGUUCAGAGCGAAAAAAAUAUACCCUCUGCUGUACACUAAAAAAGAUUUAACUUGUCACCCACUUUGCAACUGUGUUCCUAAUCCAAACAAAAAUCGUUGCGGCAUAUCUGCUCUUUCACGGCAGUGUUAGUUUUGCCUAAAAUAAUAUUUUGACAUUUCGCGAAUUACACUUAUUUACUUUCUCAUAUCCGUCUGUCUAAUAUUAAGGUGGAGCCAGCAGUCGCUUAACUUAGCUUAGCAUAAGGACUGGAAACAGAGGGAAACAGCUACGCUGGCUCUGUCCAAAAGUAGCUAAAUCAGCCUACCAGCACCUUUAAGUAAGGGAUAAUGUGAUAAAAUAAAGGAUUCUUUCACAACAAUGACCUGCUAGCUGUACAUUAUCCUGUUUAUUACACGGCUCCUUACUUAGGAAAUCAAUAGUUUGACACAAAAGCGGUCCGCCAGAGUUCGUCAUCAGAACUGCGCCCAUAGCAACGGUCUUCUGUUAUAAAGAAAUAACAGACCGUAGAACGCAGUGAUUGACCAAUCAGAAUCGAGUAUUCAACAAAGCCGUGUAAUAAGCUUGCUCAACUAUUAUUGGAGCACAGAGCGAAAAGGGGCGGGACUUAGGAAGGGUCAAAGGGUAAUCAAUCAAAAUAAUCACAAUUAGAUAUUUUUUCCAAAUCCUUCAGCACUAGUGAUGAUCAGUUUUUGUCACAACAACUACCAACUAGAAACAGUUAUUAUAAACUUCUGUUGCAAUAACGAAUGUCUCUCUCACACAGUAAACAUGCUGACAGACAUUGAAAUGGAAAACAGUGCUCAAAGUCUUCCGUUUUCAGCCUCCUAUAAACACAAAGAGUUGUGUCAGGUGUAGAGGAAGACAUCAAACAGCUUGCAGUAAGCCUGUUGAAGCUCUGCUGCAGCUGUAUGCAGAGGAAAGCUUUACUGACGCUGCUUCAGAAGCUGCUGCUCUCCGUGGAAAACCUGUGCUGGAUCUGCUGCGACAGAUUGGGGUUAAAAUUUUCCUUCAGGAUGCUUGGAACAAAAAACCGCUGGAACACAGCGAAAAAUAGAUGCGACCAGAGUUUGAUAUGACAGUGGAAUAUGAACACACACACACACACUCGUACGCAGGAGUGUGCAAAUAUUUAAAUGCACUCGCAGGCAGAGCUCCUGUUAGCAUAAUCAUAGGGACAAUAAGCAGAUAUUAGUUUCAAGGAUAAUGUGAGGAUACAAAUUCAUCCCAACAAACACACACAAAUAACACACACACCGGGGAACGUUACGUUUCAGAGCCGAAUAAUCUCCACCGCCGCAACAGCCAGAGGCCUUGUUUCGUGAUAUAAAAACACAGUGAUUGACUUAAAGUGCAGAUUAUACCCGACAGCAUGUACACAGAGCUUUAGCGAACAGAUUCCCAGUAGUAUGGAGAGCACUAAUAACUCCUCUAAUUGGCAAUUUGAGGGGAAAAAAAGCAUUAGUGGUGUCGUAUGUGUUAUGUGUGACGUUUGUUUACCCGUUUCUAUGAUGAGAAAUUGCAAAAAAAAUACGAGCUAAAUCAUUUUAUGUUGACUCAAACUGAUCUUUCCAAUAGAAGGAAAUAAUCUAGACCAAUUAGACGUGGAGAAAACUUGUACAUGCUCUUUAAUCUAGAUAAUACCUCUUUGUUUUUUUCUGUCUCUAACCACUUGUUUUGUCUCAACUAAUUGUCUAUCUAACUCUCUGUCCCUCUAGUACUAAAUUAUCCCUCUAGUACUCUCUCUGCUCUUUCUGUCCCUUUUGCUGUCAUCUCAUUUUCUCUGUCAGAUUAGACCAGAGACUUUGCUUGGCCCUGACCAUCUGCCCUCCCAAAACCAGACUUGUUAAGACUCCUUUCAACUCUUGAACUUUAAUCAGCAGGUCCCUGCGCCUAAAGAAAAAAAAUGAAAUUGAAUCUCAUAAGGCUCGGGGGAUUUCCAGCACUUCUUUGAGUGUAUGACUUUUCGCAGGUGCUCAAAAAGACAAAAAAUAUCCUAAAUUGCCGACAUGUUCUCAUCCCAACUCGUCACAUACUGACGCUUUGUCAGACCCCUCGGUGUCACAUUUCGGUCUCAGUAAACACGUCCUUAAUGUGAAUUAAUCAAAAACACUUGCUUAGGAUCAGGCAACAAAACCACUUAGUUAGGUUUAGGAAAGAACAACAU